GCAGCACGUUCUGGAAUAAACCAGCAUAUUAACAUAUCUCCCGAAAUGGCUAAUGAGAUAAAGCAAGCGGAGAACCAGAUAAAGAGAAUACUGGGAAUUGGAAAUCGCAUAUCAGAAAGAAGGUUGAUCGAUGAUCUUACUAGAAUGGGGAUGAACAAAUCAAUUGUAAGAAGAG